AAGCUGUAGACCAGCAAGGCAGUUGAAGAAGAAGUCCCACGAUAGAGUGUCAAAUGCUUUAAUGAUAUCAACCUUGAUAGUGGUGCGUUUUGGGCCAAUUCUCUUGUGAUAUCCAUUGACUAAUUCUCCUAAUACCGUGUUUUCCACCAAGAGCCUGUCUUUGACAAAUGCAGUUUGAUUAGGAACAAUGAGUGAGGGAAGUAAUGGUUUUAAAAAAAAAAAAAGUAAUGGUUUUAACUUUUUCACUUGCGGCCAUGACACCACUUUGUAAAUUGUUUUACUACAGGAUAUAGGAUGGAACUCUGAGAUGGCGGAGGCUCCUGACCUCUUAAAGACCAGCACAAGGAUUGUUGAUUUAGUCAAAGUUGGGAGAAAUGAUGUAUGGAAGAAGUGGGUAAUUGAUUGAAUCACUUCUUGGCCUAGGAAGGACCACAAAGUUUUGAAAAACACUAAGAUUCCAACAAAGGAAGCACGGAGGAUGAAGGAGGAUGGACAGUUGUAUCCCUUUAGAGCUUGAAACCAUUCUGGAGGUGAGUGAACUGAUGUAGGUUGAAAUCUGAGAGGGCCUAGAAUGGCCUUGAAAUGAUUGACAGCAAGGUUUCCCAUAGCAACAGGGUCAGUGAUGAACUCUCCCGAGGGAAGCUGGAAGGUUUGUCAAGUUGAAUGACAUGCUUCCGGCCUCAUUCCACGCUUCAAGAACCAACCGGUGAAACUGGGGAUGUUUAGUGAGGUAGUUGAUGAAGCGGAAAGGUUUGGUUCCAUAAACUGGAAGAAGGUGCAAAAGAUCAGUGGGAUACGGGCUAUGAUCUGAGGUUAGGGUUGGGAGGAAGUAGGAAGUGCUAUUAGGAUAAGCAGAUAUGAAGUGGGAAUUAACAAGGAACCUGUCCAGUUUGUUAGAAAUGGGCAUUUCUUGUUGGUGAUUUGACCACGUGUACAAGGGACCUUGGAAACGAAGGUCGAAAACACCAACUUGUCUCAAGUAAUCUGCAAAUUCAGUCAUCUACGGAGUGAUGGUAUUAACCUCUCUUAGAGAAUGCUCAGCGUGAUGCAUUGUCUCAUUAAAUUCACCUCCAAAAAUUCAAGGAGUUGACUUCAGACCAUAUGCAUAAUAGAUAUUUAGUAACUCCACUCAUAUGUCUUAAUGCUCAGCUCUAGUGUUAGAGGCAUACACUAAGUGUAAAUGAAAGGGGCACAGCCAGGGAUAGUUACUUGACAAGUGAGAGUUUGACGAGUCUGAUCUAUCAAGCUUACUGAUGCCGGAUGCUGCCAGAUGAUGAUGAUGAUCCUCCCAUCCGGAUCAGAGUUAAGAUUGGAGGCAAAGUUCCAAUUCUGGCAGAGUUUAGAUAUCAAAGGGUUCAAUUUUUUAUCUUUAAUAUGGGUUUCAAAUAGGGUUCUAAAAAUAGAUUUUUGACAAGAUAGUCUUUGGAAAAAGGGCAUGUGAAGAGUAGUUUUGCUGUGGAGGAAUUGUCAUAGUCAGAGUUGGAAGAUGGACACUAAUUUAUUUGGUUCUUUUAGACCAGAUAGGGUCACCCUCAUGUUAAACCCUUUUUUGUAACAUCCUCAUGUUAAACUUAAAACUCUGAUAUGGAUGAUGAAAAAUGUACUUCAAAUAUGAUUUAUCCUAAUGAUUUA